rnacentral:snRNA from 1 species
GUGUAUGCAUUAGCAGGACAUAUACUAAAAUUGGAACAGUACAGAGAAGAUUAGCAUGGCCCCUGUGCAAGGAUGACAUGCAAAUUCAUGAAGCAUUCCAUAUUUUA